rnacentral:rRNA from 1 species
GACCUCAAAUCAGGUAGGACUACCCGCUGAACUUAAGCAUAUCAAUAAGCGGAGGAAAAGAAACUAACAAGGAUUCCCCUAGUAACUGCGAGUGAAGCGGGAAAAGCUCAAAUUUAAAAUCUGGCAGUCUUCGAUUGUCCGAGUUGUAAUCUAGAGAAGCAUUAUCCGCGCUGGACCGUGUACAAGUCUCCUGGAAUGGAGCGUCAUAGAGGGUGAGAAUCCCGUCUUUGACACGGACUGCCAGGGCUUUGUGAUGUGCUCUCAAAGAGUCGAGUUGUUUGGGAAUGCAGCUCAAAAUGGGUGGUAAAUUCCAUCUAAAGCUAAAUAUUGGCGAGAGACCGAUAGCGAACAAGUACCGUGAGGGAAAGAUGAAAAGAACUUUGGAAAGAGAGUUAAACAGUACGUGAAAUUGCUGAAAGGGAAACGCUUGAAGUCAGUCGCGUUGUCCGGGAAUCAACCUUGCUUUUGCUGGGCGUACUUCCUGGUCAACGGGUCAGCAUCAAUUUUGACCGUUGGAUAAAGUUGCUGGGAAUGUGGCAUCUUCGGAUGUGUUAUAGCCCAGUUUCGCAUACAACGGUUGGGAUUGAGGAACUCAGCACGCCGCAAGGCCGGGUUUUUAACCACGUUCGUGCUUAGGAUGCUGGCAUAAUGGCUUUAAUCGACCCGUCUUGAAACACGGACCAAGGAGUCUAACAUGCCUGCGAGUGUUUGGGUGGAAAACCCGAGCGCGUAAUGAAAGUGAAAGUUGAGAUCCCUGUCGUGGGGAGCAUCGACGCCCGGACUUGAACUUCUGUGACGGAUCCGCGGUAGAGCAUGUAUGUUGGGACCCGAAAGAUGGUGAACUAUGCCUGAAUAGGGUGAAGCCAGAGGAAACUCUGGUGGAGGCUCGUAGCGAUUCUGACGUGCAAAUCGAUCGUCAAAUUUGGGUAUAGGGGCGAAAGACUAAUCGAACCAUCUAGUAGCUGGUUCC